rnacentral:rRNA from 1 species
AUUGAACGCUGGCGGCAUGCUUUACACAUGCAAGUCGAACGGUAACAGGCCUUCGGGUGCUGACGAGUGGCGAACGGGUGAGUAAUGCAUCGGAACGUACCCAGAGGUGGGGGAUAACGCAGCGAAAGCUGUGCUAAUACCGCAUGUGAUCUGAGGAUGAAAGCGGGGGACCGAGCAGCAAUGUUUGGCCUCGCGCCUUUGGAGCGGCCGAUGUCGGAUUAGCUAGUUGGUGGGGUAAAGGCCUACCAAGGCGACGAUCCGUAGCUGGUCUGAGAGGAGGACCAGCCACACUGGGACUGAGACACGGCCCAGACUCCUACGGGAGGCAGCAGUGGGGAAUUUUGGACAAUGGGCGAAAGCCUGAUCCAGCAAUGCCGCGUGAGGGAAGAAGGCCUUCGGGUUGUAAACCGCUUUUGGCAGGAACGAAACGGUGUCCGCUAAUACCGGGCGCUAAUGACGGUACCUGCAGAAUAAGCACCGGCUAACUACGUG